rnacentral:rRNA from 1 species
AGUGGCAGACGGGUGAGUAACAUGUGGGUAUCUACCCUUUGGCCUGGAAUAACACGAGGAAACUUGUGCUAAUACUGGAUAAGUCUUUACGGAGAAAGCUUUAUGCACCAUUGGAUGAGCCUGCACUUGAUUAGUUUGUUGGUGGGGUAAUGGCCUACCAAGACUGUGAUCAAUAGCUGAUUUGAGAGGAUGAUCAGCCACAUUGGGACUGAGACGCGGCCCAAACUCCUACGGGAGGCAGCAGUGGGGAAUCUUACACAAUGGAGGAAACUCUGAUGCAGCGAUGCGGCGUGAGUGAAGAAGGCCCUUGGGUUGUAAAGCUCUUUCGUCGGGGAAGAAAAUGACUGUACCCGAAUAAGAAGGUCCGGCUAACUUCGUGCCAGCAGCCGCGGUAAUACGAAGGGACCUAGCGUAGUUCGGAAUUACUGGGCUUAAAGAGUUCGUAGGUGGUUGAAAAAGUUGGUGGUGAAAUCCCAGAGCUUAACUCUGGAACUGCCAUCAAAACUUUUCAGCUAGAGUAUGAUAGAGGAAAGCAGAAUUUCUAGUGUAGAGGUGAAAUUCGUAGAUAUUAGAAAGAAUACCAAUUGCGAAGGCAGCUUUCUGGAUCAUUACUGACACUGAGGAACGAAAGCAUGGGUAGCGAAGAGGAUUAGAUACCCUCGUAGUCCAUGCCGUAAACGAUGUGUGUUAGACGUUGGAAAUUUAUUUUCAGUGUCGCAGCGAAAGCGAUAAACACACCGCCUGGGGAGUAC